rnacentral:rRNA from 1 species
AUGGAAUAUCUUAGAAUAAAUAAUAAAAAAUCCUCACCGAAGAUGAAGACCAGGGGCCCCACACCCUGUCCACGAGGGUGGGGGGCGCGCCCCUCCCCCUGGGCGCGCCCCUACCUCGUGGGCCCCCUGGUGGCCCUCCGACGCCAACUCCAACUCCAUAUAUUGGCUUUCGAGGAGAAAAAAAUUAAAGAGAAAGUUUCGUCGCGUUUUACGAUAUGGAGCCGCCGCCAAGCCCUAAUCUCUCUCGGGAGGGCUGAUCUGGAGUCCGUUCGGGGCUCCGGAGAGGGGGAUUCGUCGUCGUCGUCAUCAUCGACCAUCCUCCAUCACCAAUUUCAUGAUGCUCACCGCUGUGCGUGA